UAGAGGUUUAAUCCUAAUAAAUUGUUUACGUAUUCAACUUACAAAUAAUAAAAUUCAUAGAGUUUCAAUGGCCAAGAAAUGUAUUAGAGAACUUAUGGUGGUGGGGGUGGUGGUUUUGAUUAUCCCCUUGGUAUUCAUAGUACAAGCUAAUGACCUUAGCUCUCGCUCACUCUUUACCUCUGCACUACAUGUUCGCCUUCUUCACCCCCGUCCACAUGCUAACAGUGCUCGCUCAUUGUAUCAUUGCCUUGAAAUGACACUUGAAAAAUGUGAAGAAACACAUGAACCAGAAAGCCUCGAAUUUAAGCAGUGUAUCAUUCGUAAUUUCUUCCAGUGCAUUUAUAAGCAUCAAAAAUAUCUUGAAGGUACUGAAGCCAUUUAUACUAAUGCGAAAAUGUGCAUAGAAAAAUGCUUCCCGAAAUCAAAAGCAUUCCACGUCAAUGGUGCGACUUGUUUGUUAGAAUGUUUUGAAGAGCACAUCAAGGAGCAUUGAGAUGUCAACUAUAUGAAGAACAAAGAGGUUUGAGUAUGAGAUUGUGGUGUUAACCACAAUCACAUACAAGUUUGUGCAGGAUGGAUGGAAGGAUGGAACCAUUUGCUGAUAUUUAUGUUAAUGUUAUUUUGAGACUUUUUAUGUUAAUAUGUAAUAUUUGUUAUGUUGGAUAAAACAAUGGUUUUUAUUAUUAAGUGCCGCAUGUGGUACAUAUGUUUUACUUUGAAUGUAUUUAUUAUAUUAGAACACACGGUUCAUAUUUUAAUAUAAUGAGGUAAUUCAGUCA